GUGGGGAAUAUUGGACAAUGGGCGAAAGCCUGAUCCAGCCAUGCCGCGUGUGUGAAGAAGGUCUUCGGAUUGUAAAGCACUUUAAGUUGGGAGGAAGGGCAGUAAGUUAAUACCUUGCUGUUUUGACGUUACCGACAGAAUAAGCACCGGCUAACUUCGUGCCAGCAGCCGCGGUAAUACGAAGGGUGCAAGCGUUAAUCGGAAUUACUGGGCGUAAAGCGCGCGUAGGUGGUUUUGUAAGUUGGAGGUGAAAUCCCCGGGCUCAACCUGGGAACUGCCUCCAAAACUGCAUGACUAGAGUACGGUAGAGGGUAGUGGAAUUUCCUGUGUAGCGGUGAAAUGCGUAGAUAUAGGAAGGAACACCAGUGGCGAAGGCGACUACCUGGACUGAUACUGACACUGAGGUGCGAAAGCGUGGGGAGCAAACAGGAUUAGAUACCCUUGAGUCC
rnacentral:rRNA from 1 species